rnacentral:rRNA from 1 species
AGAGUUUGAUCCUGGCUCAGGAUGAACGCUGGCGGUAUGCUUAACACAUGCAAGUCGAACGGUAUCUUCGGAUAUAGUGGCGGACGGGUGAGUAACGCGUGAGAAUCUGGCUUCAGGUCGGGGACAACAGUUGGAAACGACUGCUAAUACCGGAUGAGCCUGCGGGUAAAAGAUUUAUUGCCUGAAGAAGAGCUCGCGUCUGAUUAGCUAGUUGGUGGGGUAAGGGCUUACCAAGGCGACGAUCAGUAGCUGGUCUGAGAGGAUGAUCAGCCACACUGGGACUGAGACACGGCCCAGACUCCUACGGGAGGCAGCAGUGGGGAAUUUUCCGCAAUGGGCGAAAGCCUGACGGGGCAAUGCCGCGUGGAGGAUGAAGGCCCAAUGGGUCGUAAACUCCUUUAGAUCAGAGACGAAGAGAUGACGGUACCUGAAGAACUAAGCAUCGGCUAAACCCCGUGCCAGCAGCCGCGGUAAGACGGGGGAUGCGAGCGUUAUCCGGAAUGAUUGGGCGUAAAGGGUCCGCAGGUGGCCCGGUCAGUCCGCUGUCAAAGCCUGGGGCUCAACCCUGGAGAGGCGGCGGAGACCACCGGGCUCGAGUCCGGUAGGGGCAGAGGGAAUUCCCGGUGGAGCGGUGAAAUGCGUAGAGAUCGGGAAGAACGCCAAGGGCGAAGGCACUCUGCUAGGCCUGAUUUCGCGACUGACACUCAGGGACGAGAGCCAGGGGAGCGAAUGGGAUUAGAUACCCCAGUAGUCCUG